AGACUGUUCACUUUUUCUAACAAAAAUAAAUUUGGAUUUUGCAGGAUAAUUAUGCGUUGAAGAAAAAGGCAUUCAAUGAGGAGCAAAUGGCAAAAGCAAAUGUGUUAAGAUUCUAAAAAUGACUACUAUCCUAGUAAAAAAUGACUACAUUUUAUACUAUGUGCUACACACACACACAUACUCACCUGAUCAGAUGGGCGCUACGGAGUGUGUCUGAAGGCAGCAGGUUUUGCCAAUUGUUCUUAUCCGGUUUCUUCAGUUGACUGACAAAAUACCAAUAAAUGCGCAGUUAGGGUUUGGAGAAAUUUUAACACAAGUUCUUAUAAUAAGUUGCUGAUGAGAUUCUGGCGUCAUUGUUGAUAACAUGUGAUGACACGUGGAGAAUGAGGGAGGCAUCAAAAGAUGCAACAAUACCGUGGCAGAGACAUCUAGUUGCUCACCCCAAGAGUCAGUCUCUUUUUCUUCUUUCCUGACAGGACGAAAGUGAACUAAACAGAAGUAACGAAACUGAUUUCAUUUGGGGAAAUGUUUUCAAUGGCUGGGACAAUAUUCUGGCCACGGAAAUCCAAGAGCAGGUGUUAAUGCGAGUUCUGGGUUGACCAAGAUCACCGAGCCAGGAAGAGUGACUCUCUUUUCUCUCUGCUGUUCUGGCAACUGUCAUCCUGUAACGAAGCCAUCUUGGGUCAUGGCAGAGUCCGAAAGAGGGAGGUUAUGAGCUGAGAACGGUGAAAGUGACAAUUGAGACACGGAUGCUUCAUGGCUCCACGGACUGUCUGCCACUGACCUGCCUAUCUCUGGAUUCUCUUAUUUCAGAAAAAAAUAAAACACAUCUAUUUGAAUGAGAUUAUGUUAUUAAUGGUGAAUGUGUUAUGCAACUGAACCUAAUCCUAACUGAUAAAAUAU